rnacentral:tmRNA from 1 species
GGGGGUGUCACGGUUUCGACGGGGGCGCGGAAUCACGAAUAGCGGGCGGAUGCGCCUGGCAUCCUUAAAACGGGCACUUUUUAUAAAUUAAAGAACAACGAUAACACUGUUCUUCUCGCUGCUUGAUCAGUGAGCGUCUGUUUCGGGAGUACCACGGCCCGAUCUCAGGCGUCGAUUAGUGGUGAACGUGAGCAGUCAAAGCUUUGAGACUGCCAUGUAUAAUGAAGCUACCUGACUUCUGAGUCUGACAGCUGACGCUUAAGAAAGGGAAUUUCAAAGAACUGUCUGCGCCCGGAGAAAGUUAUUUUGAAGUGUUUUCGGACGGGGGUUCAACACCCCCCAUCUCCACCA